CCCCCCUUCUGAAACAGGCCUCGGGGAAGCAUACCUUACCAACCCCCCCCCCUUCUGAAACAGGCCUCGGGGAAGCAUACCUUACCAACCCCCCUUCUGAAACAGGCCUCGGGGAAGCAUACCUUACCAGCCCCUUGCUGAAAAAGGCCUCGGUUUGGAGGGAAACACCUUACCAAGCCCGUGCUGAAACAGGUCUCGGUUUGGAGGGAAACACCUUACCAAGCCCGUGCUGAAACAGGUCUCGGUUUGGAAGGGAAACACCUUACCAAGCCCGUGCUGAAACAGGUCUCGGUUUGGAAGGGAAACGCCUUACCAAGCCCGUGCUGAAACAGGUCUCGGUUUGGAAGGGAAACACCUUACCAAGCCCGUGCUGAAACAGGUCUCGGUUUGGAGGGAAACACCUUACCAAGCCCGUGCUGAAACAGGUCUCGGUUUGGAGGGAAACACCUUACCAAGCCCGUGCUGAAACAGGUCUCGGUUUGGAAGGGAAACACCUUACCAAGCCCGUGCUGAAACAGGUCUCGGUUUGGAAGGGAAACACCUUACCAAGCCAGUGCUGAAACAGGUCUCGGUUUGGAAGGGAAACACCUUACCAAGCCCGUGCUGAAACAGGUCUCGGUUUGGAAGGGAAACACCUUACCAAGCCCGUGCGAAACAGGUCUUGGUUUGGUUCUUAUAUGGCUGUUACACAGUUCCAAGCUCAAGUAGGCUUUUGUUGUCAACUAUUUGUCAAUAUAUCAAACACAAUGUGUCAAUAUUCUGAACUUGACAAUACAUGAAGUUUGUUUGAGUGACUUAAACCACAAACCGCUUUUGCCAGCCAAAAUACCUGAACACAGUCUCACAUACAGUUCAUGCACACCACUGUUCAGAUCCUACUUUUAUUUGGCAAAAUGUCAGUUUUGCAUGUAGAGGAGAUAAAUAGUUUGAGUCAAUUAGCAUGCCAAUGUUUGUUCAUAAUAAAAACAUGUUCAAAGGUUUUGUAUAUUUAUAUAUUUGUAUAGAAUAUAAAGGUGGGAAUUAUUUAAAAGCUGCUCUCUGUUCAGCCAUUACAUUCCACUCCUUGACAUUCAUGUAAUUUGCCAAAGACAGGAGUGGCAAGGAGUGGAAUGCUAGCUAAAAAGACUGGAGUGGAAUGCUAGCUAAAAAAGACUGGAGUGGAAUGCUAGCUAAAAAAGACUGGAGUGGAAUGCUAGCUAAAAAAGACUGGAGUGGAAUGCUAGCUAAAAAAGACUGGAGUGGAAUGCUAGCUAAAAAAGACUGGAGUGGAAUGCUAGCUAAAAAAAAACUGGAGUGGAAUGCUAGCUAAAAAAGACUGGAGUGGAAUGCUAGCUAAAAAAGACUGGAGUGGAAUGCUAGCUAAAAAAGACUGGAGUGGAAUGCUAGCUAAAAAGACAGGAGUGGCAAGGAGUGGAAUGCUAGCUAAAAAGACUGGAGUGGAAUGCUAGCUAAAAAGACAGGAGUGGCAAGGAGUGGAAUGCUAGCUAAAAAGACAGGAGUGGCAAGGAGUAGAAUGCUAGCUAAAAAGACAGGAGUGGCAAGGAGUGGAAUGCUAGCUAAAAAGACAGGAGUGGCAAGGAGUGGAAUGCUAGCUAAAAGGACUGGAGUGGAAUGCUAGCUAAAAAGACUGGAGUGGAAUGCUAGCUAAAAAGACUGGAGUGGAAUGCUAGCUAAAAAGACUGGAGUGGAAUGCUAGCUAAAAAGACUGGAGUGGAAUGCUAGCUAAAAAAGACUGGAGUGGAAUGCUAGCUAAAAAAGACUGGAGUGGAAUGCUAGCUAAAAAGACUGGAGUGGAAUGCUAGCUAAAAAGACAGGAGUGGCAAGGAGUGGAAUGCUAGCUAAAAAGACUGGAGUGGAAUGCUAGCUAAAAAGACAGGAGUGGCAAGGAGUGGAAUGCUAGCUAAAAAGACUGGAGUGGAAUGCUAGCUAAAAAGACUGGAUUGGAAUGCUAGCUAAAAAGACUGGAGUGGAAUGCUAGCUAAAAAGACUGGAGUGGAAUGCUAGCUAAAAAGACUGGAGUGGAAUGCUAGCUAAAAAGACUGGAGUGGAAUGCUAGCUAAAAAGACUGGAGUGGAAUGCUAGCUAAAAAGACAGGAGUGGCAAGGAGUGGAAUGCUAGCUAAAAAGACAGGAGUGGCAAGGAGUAGAAUGCUAGCUAAAAAGACAGGAGUGGCAAGGAGUGGAAUGCUAGCUAAAAAGACAGGAGUGGCAAGGAGUGGAAUGCUAGCUAAAAAGACUGGAGUGGAAUGCUAGCUAAAAAGACUGGAGUGGAAUGCUAGCUAAAAAGACAGGAGUGGCAAUAUUGAGAGUUAGAAAGCAUUGGGCGUUAUAAGAGGGCCUUACUAUCUCUAUCUCGGUGACAGAAAGAGGACUUUGGCGUAACUCUUUAAAAAAAAAAAAAGGAAUUAAAGAUUGGGUGUUUGCUGCUGUUGUGGAAAGGGAGUCAGAAUGGAUGCUGGUUGGUAUGGUGAUUGAGUGAAUUUUAGUGUAUCCUAUGUCCACAGCCAGCCUUUUACCAAAAAUAGUUACCUAAUCCAUUGGUAGACAACACUGGUCUUGGAGAGCAGUUUGACAUUUUACUGCCAGUAACGUAAGCAAUUUGCUGCACCCGCUAUAACAUCUGCCAAACUGUGUGCGACCAAUAAACGUUGAUAUGCAGCAGUCCUAAUCUGGACCCCUUUUUGACUCCUUGUUGUUAUGUAUUGGGAGAUCACUUAGAAACAGACAACUACCAAGCACAGGACUUUGUGUUUACCUGCCCAUAUCAGCUCUGAAGUCUCAUCCCACCCUGCUCUAACCUGCUCCGCUGUCUCAUAUCUCAGACUGUCAUGCUCUAUGAUUCCCUUUGUUUAUAGACAGAGGAGGGCAGUAAUGAGCCAUUCAAGAGCUCCUGGGACUGUGGGGAGAUGGAAGAAUGUUUUUGGGAUGAUGUGGAGCCAUCAGAGGGUCUAGUCAGAAAGUGGUGUGUUACCAAAAACUGCAGACUGGUGUACCUGCACUUGCUAUACUGUAGUGUUGUCCUUGGAGGCAACAUUAUUUGACUUUUUCAUAUAUAGGUCUAUACAGUGCAUUCAGAAAGUAUUCAGAUACAUUUGUCAUUAUGGGGUAUUGUGUGUGUGGAUUGAUGAGGGGUAAAAGCAAUUUAAUCAGUUUUAGAAUAAGGCUGUAACGUAACAAAAUGUGGAUAAAGUCAAGGGGUCUGAAUACUUUUUGAAUGCACUGUAAAUACACAAAGUGUACAAAACAUUAAGAACACCAUCUUAAUAUUGAGUACUCCCCCUUUUUGCCCUCAGAACAGCCUCAAUUUGUCGGGGAGGGGACUCUACAAGGUGUCGAAAGCAUUUCACAGGGAUGCUGGCCCAUGUUGACUCCAUUGCUUCCCAUAGUUGUGUCAAGUUGGCUGGAUAUUUUUUGGGUGGUGGACCAUUCUUGAUACACGUGGGAAAGUGUUGAGUGUGAAAAACACCUCAGCGUUGCAGUUGACACACGCAAACCGUUGAUCCUGGUACCUACUACCAUAACCUGUUCAAAAGCACUUCAAUCUUUUCUCUUACCCAUUUACCCAUUGAUUUUCUCUGCUUUUCCCCCAAAGCCGGGUGCAAUGCUCUCCACCAGUUUGGCUAUGGUUACAAUUAGCUACAAUUACUUUACCUCAAACUAGUGAAAGUAUUUUUUUUUUUUUAUUACAUUUGGAUUCAUUCUCAGACAUGGUCAAAAGGAGAAACAAAAGGAGAAACAGUAGACAUUGCGCUCUCUACAGACAGUUAACCAAGUGCAUGAUAAUGUGUGCCCUAAACACGGGUGCUCAUGGUCUAUUCAGAUUUGGAUUGAUCAAGGUGUAAGGAAGUUAUGUAAUAUCAUUUUGCUAUACUAUCAUGUUAUAUUAAUAGCCAACUAACAAAUACUAAAGCAUCAAACAAGUAUUUCUCAUUUCAUUUGUUUAGCUGUUUGUUUAGAGGCAGUUGCCAUUUGGAAUAUUACGGUUUUGGUUCAUUUAAAACAAAAAAAAAUGUAAAUCGUCAAUGAUAUUUACUCAGUUGAUGUAAAACAGUCUUGUAACUUUAUUUGGAUUGUAACUCUGUUUCCUUUAGGGUACAAGGUUUUGGAUUGUAACUCUGUUUCCUUUAGGGUACAAGGUUUUGGAUUGUAACUCUGUUUCCUUUAGGGUACAAGGUUUUGGAUUGUAACUCUGUUUCCUUUAGGGUACAAGGUUUUGGAUUGUAACUCUGUUUCCUUUAGGGUACAAGGUUUUGGAUUGUAACUCUGUUUCCUUUAGGGUACAAGGUUUUGGAUUGUAACUCUGUUUCCUUUAGGGUACAAGGUUUUGGAUUGUAACUCUGUUUCCUUUAGGGUACAAGGUUUUGGAUUGUAACUCUGUUUCCUUUAGGGUACAAGGUUUUGGAUUGUAACUCUGUUUCCUUUAGGGUUCAAGGUUUUGGAUUGUAACUCUGUUUCCUUUAGGGUACAAGGCUGUUUCCUUUAGGGUACAAGGUUUUGGAUUGUAACUCUGUUUCCUUUAGGGUACAAGGUUUUGGAUUGUAACUCUGUUUCCUUUAGGGUACAAGGUUUUGGAUUGUAACUCUGUUUCCUUUAGGGUACAAGGUUUUGGAUUGUAACUCUGUUUCCUUUAGGGUUCAAGGUUUUGGAUUGUAACUCUGUUUCCUUUAGGGUACAAGGCUGUUUCCUUUAGGGUACAAGGUUUUGGAUUGUAACUCUGUUUCCUUUAGGGUACAAGGUUUUGGAUUGUAACUCUGUUUCCUUUAGGGUACAAGGUUUUGGAUUGUAACUCUGUUUCCUUUAGGGUUCAAGGUUUUGGAUUGUAACUCUGUUUCCUUUAGGGUACAAGGUUUUGGAUUGUAACUCUGUUUCCUUUAGGGUUCAAGGUUUUGGAUUGUAACUCUGUUUCCUUUAGGGUACAAGGCUGUUUCCUUUAGGGUACAAGGUUUUGGAUUGUAACUCUGUUUCCUUUAUGGUACAAGGUUUUGGAUUGUAACUCUGCUUCCUUUAGGGUACAAGGUUUUGGAUUGUAACUCUGCUUCCUUUAGGGUACAAGGUUUUGGAUUGUAACUCUGUUUCCUUUAGGGUUCAAGGUUUUGGAUUGUAACUCUGCUUCCUUUAGGGUACAAGGUUUUGGAUUGUAACUCUGUUUCCUUUAGGGUACAAGGUUUUGGAUUGUAACUCUGUUUCCUUUAGGGUUCAAGGUUUUGGAUUGUAACUCUGUUUCCUUUAGGGUACAAGGCUGUUUCCUUUAGGGUACAAGGUUUUGGAUUGUAACUCUGUUUCCUUUAGGGUACAAGGUUUUGGAUUGUAACUCUGUUUCCUUUAGGGUACAAGGUUUUGGAUUGUAACUCUGUUUCCUUUAGGGUUCAAGGUUUUGGAUUGUAACUCUGUUUCCUUUAGGGUACAAGGCUGUUUCCUUUAGGGUACAAGGUUUUGGAUUGUAACUCUGCUUCCUUUAGGGUACAAGGUUUUGGAUUGUAACUCUGCUUCCUUUAGGGUACAAGGUUUUGGAUUGUAACUCUGUUUCCUUUAGGGUUCAAGGUUUUGGAUUGUAACUCUGUUUCCUUUAGGGUACAAGGUUUUGGAUUGUAACUCUGUUUCCUUUAGGGUACAAGGUUUUGGAUUGUAACUCUGUUUCCUUUAGGGUACAAGGUUUUGGAUUGUAACUCUGUUUCCUUUAGGGUACAAGGCUGUUUCCUUUAGGGUACAAGGUUUUGGAUUGUAACUCUGCUUCCUUUAGGGUACAAGGUUUUGGAUUGUAACUCUGUUUCCUUUAGGGUACAAGGUUUUGUCUUUUUUUCCAGGAAAAUAAAAGAUUUGACCCUA